rnacentral:lncRNA from 1 species
GAAACACAAGAGUUGAGAUUUCACAAAAUAAUGUUUGUAAUUCAGGUCCAGGCCAUUUCACAGCUUGUGACAUUUUAUUUUGCAUAACGUGUUUGCAAAAUAAUUGGGAGAGUCAACUGUCAGUGAAAAAACAUCUAUAUUUCUACCACCCCCCUUCUGCAGUUACACGUGGUGCUCAGAGUAGGAUGCGUCGGUCUGGUGUUUGCAUGCAAUGCUGUCAUGUGGACCUUCUUUGCAAAAGCCCUCCACUACGCCUCUUCCUCAGCGACUGCCACGGUGACAACAACAGCCUCCAACUUCAUCUCUUCGGCUUUCCUGGGCAAGCUGCUCUUUGGAGAGACUCGUUCACUCUUGUGGUGGGUAGGGAUCAGCAUGACACUCUGUGGACUCCUGCUGCUGCACACAGCUUCACCUCACACAAAACAGCAGCAUUCUGAGAAGAAGGACAAAUAGAAACUAAACCCACUGGAUUAGUUUGUGCAACAAUCUAAUGACAAAAUCAGCCUUCAGGCCUUUCUGCUGUAAGUGGGUGAUGCUCCUGCAGACUUGCUCCUUGGAUGAUUCUCCCUCGUAUGUUGCUGUCAUGGUUACAGGGCGAACUGUGCUUUGACUUUGUUUUUUUAACUCUCUCCCCUUAAGUGAUAGGCUUGACUGCCUGCUCCUCACUCCGGGCGGAACUAUGCAGUCCAACCACUCUGGCUCUGGGUCUCAGACUCCUUGUUUCUCAACCACGUGAUCUGAGGCCCAGUUGAGUUAGGCAUCUGUAAGCCUUUUUGCUCUGGGGACCUGCAAUCAGCAAAGUGGUUAAAAGUGACUCAAAACAGCUUCUUCAAAACAAUGUAUCAUAUAUUCCUUCCCACAGAGCAAAGGGUACAAACAUUAAAGGGCUACAUGCAGAUUUCCCUUAGCCUAAGCCUUAAUCUUUCCUUGCCAGCUUUCAUGUGUCUCAGCCAAGCCUGUCAUCUCUGUCUACAUUGGGAAAAGCUGACUGCCCCUGCUCCAAUUGCUGUGACUCUGUGUCCCCUUGCCAGCCUGUCAGCUCUCACUGACACUCCUGCAGCCCUCACCCUUUUUUAGGCUUAGGGUCCUCUAAUGUUUAGUAUCCUCCUCUUGAUCCUAGGCUUAGCCUUAGGAAGAGCAAUCUAGCCUGGCUGGAGUCUUCUAGGAGUUAUUCCCCCAAUAAACAGCUUUUCUGUUGCUUCCUCA